rnacentral:rRNA from 1 species
GAUGAACGCUGGCGGCGUGCCUAAUACAUGCAAGUCGAGCGAACAGAUAAGGAGCUUGCUCCUUUGACGUUAGCGGCGGACGGGUGAGUUACACGUGGAUAACCUACCUAUAAGACUGGGAUAAAUUCGGGAAACCGGAGCUAAUACCGGAUAACAUAUUGAACCGCAUGGUUCAAUAGUGAAAGGCGGCUUUGCUGUCACUUAUAGAUGGAUCCGCGCCGUAUUAGCUAGUUGGUAAGGUAACGGAUUACCAAGGCAACGAUACGUAGCCGACCUGAGAGGGUGAUCGGCCACACUGGAACUGAGACACGGUCCAGACUCCUACGGGAGGCAGCAGUAGGGAAUCUGCCGCAAUGGGCGAAAGCCUGACGGAGCAACGCCGCGUCAGUGAUAAAGAUCUUCGGAUCGUAAAACUCUGUUAUCAGGGAAGAACAAAUGUGUAAGUAACUGUGCACAUCUUGACGGUACCUGAUCAGAAAGCAACGGCUAACUACGUG